rnacentral:rRNA from 1 species
UACGGUGGGGGCAAGCGUUGUUCGGAAUUACUGGGCGUAAAGGGCUCGUAGGCGGCCAACUAAGUCGGACGUGAAAUCCCCAGGCUCAACCUGGGAACUGCGUCUGAUACUGGAUGGCUUGAAUCCGGGAGAGGGAUGCAGAAUUCCAGGUGUAGCGGUGAAAUGCGUAGAUAUCUGGAGGAAUACCGGUGGCGAAGGCGGCAUCCUGGACCGGCAUUGACGCUGAGGCGCGAAAGCCAGGGGAGCAAACGGG